UAAAAUUGAGAAUGGAAAUGGGGAAUGUGUCAAAGAGACAACAACCCGACCAUAGAAAAAAAAACAACAGCAGAAGGUCACCAACAGGUCUUCAAUGUAGCGAUAAAUUCCCGCACUCGGAGGCGUCCUUCAGCUGGCCCCUAAACAAAUAUAUACUAGUUCAGUGAUAAUGAACGCCAUACUAAUUUCCAAAUUGUACACAAGAAACUAAAAUUAAAAUAAUACAAGAC
rnacentral:lncRNA from 1 species